UGGGGAAUUUUGGACAAUGGGCGCAAGCCUGAUCCAGCCAUGCCGCGUGCAGGAUGAAGGCCCUCGGGUUGUAAACUGCUUUUGUACGGAACGAAAAGCCUCUUUCUAAUAAAGAGGGGUGAUGACGGUACCGUAAGAAUAAGCACCGGCUAACUACGUGCCAGCAGCCGCGGUAAUACGUAGGGUGCGAGCGUUAAUCGGAAUUACUGGGCGUAAAGCGUGCGCAGGCGGUCUUGCAAGACAGUGGUGAAAUCCCCGGGCUCAACCUGGGAACUGCCAUUGUGACUGCAAGGCUGGAGUACGGCAGAGGGGGAUGGAAUUCCGCGUGUAGCAGUGAAAUGCGUAGAUAUGCGGAGGAACACCGAUGGCGAAGGCAGUCCCCUGGGCCUGUACUGACGCUCAUGCACGAAGCGUGGGGAGCAAACA
rnacentral:rRNA from 1 species